rnacentral:tRNA from 1 species
GCCGAGGUGGCGGAAUUGGUAGACGCGCUAGCUUCAGGUGCUAGUGAGCUUUGGCUCGUGGAGGUUCAAGUCCUCUCCUCGGCACCA